rnacentral:lncRNA from 10 species
AUAGAUCCUCCCAAAGGAUGGGUGCCUUCAUUCACUCAAGAAAUACCUUAUUUUUUGUUCAUUCUGAAAAUCACAUCGCCAGAUCCAACACCUUUUUAUCCCAAUCACCAGUACAAGCCACCCGUAUCAGUGUACACUGUGGCUGACCGAUCCAUAGUGAUGCUUUGAGGUGGGUGUCAUUGUGACUGGCUGCUACCUCCCCAUGAGUCUUCUAAAAUAAAACCUGCAAAUUCACAUCUUCCCCAUGCUUCCAGAGAAUGCAUAUUCUUCCUUUGAAAAAAGAAAACCAGGUAGUCGUACAGUGUCCAGAAGGCAAAAGGACAAGUAUGCACUGCCCUACUUACCUACUUUCCACACUGCUGCACAGGAAAAUCUGACAGAGGACAAUAACAAACAUCUCACCAGCUCAUGCGUUCUUUUUUGAUCCUAAUUCCGAGAGACUCACCAAAGACAUGAAGAGAAAACAAACAAUACUUUUCUUGGAAAUAUUGUAAUUGCUGGUACAUUUGUUGUUCUGGCAUAAAGUAGAAAUUGUCAGGUAAACAUUGCUUCCUUUUGGAUCAAAAAGAAAUUUAACCAAAUAAAUGCAAGAGGUAUGAGGGAAGAUAAUGGGAAAUAAAUGAGAUUUGAGAAAUCAGUGGAGGUUCAAGUGGUUUUUUUUUUCUUUUGUAGUUGAUAAUACUCUGUUUUAAAUCAGUGAGUUUUACUUAUAUAUGCUUGUCCUUUUUUUUUUCUAGUUACCAGAACAAUACUCAGUGAACUUAUGAAUAUAUGGUAAAUAUUAAACACAUCCCACUUGGAUGAGAAGAUAUGUGAGUCGAUGAGUAUAGCUAAGUCUAAAGUUAGAUGUGUUCCAUAAACAUAGUGUUUAUGGAGUUGGUGCAUAUUCACUUCUCAGUAAG